AAAUGAAUAGACGGGGGCCCGCACAAGCGGCGGAGCAUGCGGCUUAAUUCGAUGCGACGCGAAGAACCUUACCUGGGCUUGACAUGCAGGGCAAAGCCGGUGAAAGCCGGCGCUCUACGGAGCCUGCACAGGUGGUGCAUGGCUGUCGUCAGCUCGUGCCGUGAGGUGUUGCCUUAAGUGGCGCAACGAGCGCAACCCUUGUCCUUAGUUGCCAGCGGGUAAAGCCGGGAACUCUAGGGAGACUGCCGGUGCCAAACCGGAGGAAGGUGGGGAUGACGUCAAGUCAUCAUGCCCCUUAUGUCCAGGGCUGCACGCAUGCUACAAUGCGCGGUACAAAGGGCUGCGAUCCCGCAAGGGGGAGCGAAUCCCAAAAAGCCGCGCUCAGUUCGGAUCGGGGUCUGCAACCCGACCCCGUGAAGUCGGAGUCGCUAGUAAUCGCAGAUCAGCAAUGCUGCGGUGAAUACGUUCCCGGGCCUUGUACACACCGCCCGU
rnacentral:rRNA from 1 species